AGCGAACGCUGGCGGCAUGCUUAACACAUGCAAGUCGCGCGGGUGGUUUCGGCCAUCAGCGGCGGACGGGUGAGUAUCUCGUAGGAAUGUAUCCCGAGGUGGGGGACAACCCUGGGAAACUGGGGCUAAUACCGCAUGGGGCCUGUGGGUCAAAGCCUUAGGUCGCCUUGGGAGCAGCCUUCGUCCGAUUAGGUGGUUGGUGGGGUAAAGGCCUACCAAGCCUGCUAUCGGUAUCUGGUCUGAGAGAACGAUCAGCCACACUGGGACUGUGACACGGCCCAAACUCUCAGAAGAGGAAGCUGAGGAGAAUGAUGGAGAGUGGGCGGAAGCCCGAAAAAGCGAUGUCGAGUGGGGGAAGAAUGCCUUCGGAUUGUAAAGCCCUAUCGGCGGCGACGAUAAUGACAGUAAUAGCAGAAGAAAGCCCGGGGAAGAGAGUG
rnacentral:rRNA from 1 species